rnacentral:rRNA from 1 species
UACAGAGGGGGCAAGCGUUGUUCGGAAUUACUGGGCGUAAAGGGCGCGUAGGCGGCCUUCUAAGUCGAACGUGAAAUCCCCGGGCUCAACCCGGGAACUGCGUCCGAUACUGGAAGGCUUGAAUUCGGGAGAGGGAUGCGGAAUUCCAGGUGUAGCGGUGAAAUGCGUAGAUAUCGUAAGGAAGACCAGUGGCGAAGGCGGGUCUCUGGACAGUUCCUGACGCUGAGGCACGAAGGCCAGGGGAGCGAACGGG